rnacentral:rRNA from 1 species
GACGAACGCUGGCGGCGUGCUUAACACAUGCGAGUCGAACGGAAAGGCCCUGCUUUUGUGGGGUGCUCGAGUGGCGAACGGGUGAGUAACACGUGAGUAACCUGCCCUUGACUUUGGGAUAACUUCAGGAAACUGGGGCUAAUACCGGAUAGGAGCUCCUGCUGCAUGGUGGGGGUUGGAAAGUUUCGGCGGUUGGGGAUGGACUCGCGGCUUAUCAACUUGUUGGUGGGGUAGUGGCUUACCAAGGCUUUGACGGGUAGCCGGCCUGAGAGGGUGACCGGCCACAUUGGGACUGAGAUACGGCCCAGACUCCUACGGGAGGCAGCAGUGGGGAAUAUUGCACAAUGGGCGGAAGCCUGAUGCAGCAACGCCGCGUGCGGGAUGACGGCCUUCGGGCUGUAAACCGCUUUCGCCUGUGACGAAGCGUGAGUGACGGUAAUGGGUAAAGAAGCACCGGCUAACUACGUG